AGCUUAGCGGCGAACGGGUGAGUAACACGUGGGCAACCUGCCUGACAGACUGGGAUAACUUGGGGAAACUCAAGCUAAUACCGGAUAGGAUCGCAAGCUGCAUGGUUUGCGAUGGAAAGUCUGAACGACACUGUCAGAUGGGCCCGCGGCGCAUUAGCUAGUUGGUGGGGUAAUGGCCUACCAAGGCGACGAUGCGUAGCCGACCUGAGAGGGUGACCGGCCACACUGGGACUGAGACACGGCCCAGACUCCUACGGGAGGCAGCAGUAGGGAAUCUUCCACAAUGGGCGAAAGCCUGAUGGAGCAACGCCGCGUGAGUGAUGAAGGUUUUCGGAUCGUAAAACUCUGUUGUUAGGGAAGAACACCCGGGAGAGGAUCCCGGUUUGACGGUACCUGACGAGAAAGCCCCGGCUAACUACGUGCCAGCAGCCGCGGUAA
rnacentral:rRNA from 1 species